rnacentral:lncRNA from 1 species
CCACUCACUGGUAAGUCGAAGGGUCAUAACCCCCGUGACUCCCUUGAACGCGCUCGUCCUCAGGAUAGGUCUCACCUAUAUGCGAAACAAAUAUAAAAAUGUUAUUUAAAGCAUACAACCAACAAUACGUAAUAACUUCUCAUACGAUGCUCAAUUUGGGUAUAUAAACAUACCACAGUGACCUACUCGACGUCACGGACGUCGAGGUAUUUUUAGAAAAAAUUGCCAACACAACACGUGCCCCCACACGCCCCCACGCGCGUCAUCUUCUUCCUCUAGUUGCCGGACUGGUUUCGCCGGCUCUGGAAAACUGGAGAUUUUUCAAUCUCCUUGUUUUCCGUCAAUUCUCAACCAUUUUUUACAAACUUUACAUCAAUAUGAAGCCCUAAGCAUGUUGAAUCAUGUUAUACUACUUUAAGGCUAAAAAACAUACGAAAUCUCACCAAAGAAAAUCCAAGAAAACCGGCCAACUUCGAACCCUAUGAUCCCGACGUCCAAAACCUUCAAAGUACUCCGAGCUUCCUUGGGACCUCACUAAGCUCCCUAUAAGCUUAGAAUUCCCUGAAAAUCAACAUUUCACGUGUGCAUAAACAGUGACAUCAAAUUGGGGUUCGGAUUUCACGUGAUUUCGAGGGUUUCCAGUUCUAAAAAUGGUGCCAUUCAACUCAGGAGGUUGCAAGGAUGAAGACACUCACCUUUUUGACGUCGAUCCGUGAAGAUUUGAGGGUUUAGUGCCUUGUCCAUACAGUUUCGAGAGGAAGAGAGAGAGAAACUGAGAGGGAAUAGAGAGAGAACACGGGGAGGUACGUGUCCCAUGUGUGUGUGGUCCACCCAAAACAAUCACCAUCCAAUUCCUUUAGGUCCCUAACCACACCAUUUGCAUACCAUUUAAUCUACUUAAUUAAAUUUUGCCAAGAACUUAGGAGAGUAUACAUUUAUUCGAAUAUCAUGUCACACAUACCUUAAUAGCCUUUAAGGGCAAUUCCGUCAUUUCACAUCCACGAUAAAUACAUUUCGGGACGGACUGUGACAGAUACAAAUACAAUUUUUUUAAUUUAAUAAUAUUUUCAAUGCCAAUUUUUAUUGAAAGAAUUGUUUUAUAUUAAUAAUCAUAUAUUCAACUACAUAUACAAAAAAAAUAAAUGUAAAAUUUUUACAUGUACUUGUUACAAUCCUAUGAUAUGUCUUAUAACACUAGUUUUUCAAGUCCACUUUGGCCAACUGUCAAGGAGUUCGAAUCUAGUGCUAUGAACAUUGAUCCACAAUUAUUAUCUUUAUUCUGCAAAAAAAUAAAAAGACAACUUAUAUCAAGCACAAUAUAAUUGUUAAUUGGUAAGAAACCCAAACAAUGAAAAUCUGAAAAUAAACAUAAGCUCUAAUUAAGAGGCUUGCAUAAUUUUAGCUCAAGGUGUGAACAUAGCAACCACCAAUCUAUACCAUAAAUAAUUCAAGUGAGUAGUUGAAGUGAAAAUUAAACACACCUCCAUUACAUUCUUCAAUUUUUUUUACCACCCUAAGAUAAGAGGAUGCUCAUAAAUCCAAAAAAUCUAAAAAAUAUAAGGAAAGUAAAACUAUAUGCAUAGUUUAACAAUUCUAAUGUUAAACUAUAUGCACAGUUGAACACCUCCAAAGAAAGGACUUCGAGAAUGAAAUAUUGCACCUAAUGCUUAAGCCUCAAUAAUUGUUGUCUCUCUAUCUACAUAGACAUAAGCAUUUGCAUAGUCCCCAACAAUCCACACAUGAAGCCAAAAAUUAACCAGUGAAGACUUGCAAAGAUAUACAAAAUUAACUCCAACAAGAGCAUGUAGUGCAAAAUUAGCAUUGCAUAUGCAGAGAAUGGAGUAAAUGCAGCCAAGAACUUACUUACAAUCAUCAAGUUUCUAGAUAUUCUUCUCAACCGCACUACCUCUAAAGCUAGCAUUUUAUGUAUAGUUUCUGCCUCUAAACCUUUCUACACACGUAUUCCUUUGCAAUUGAACUCUUGACAAAUUAUAUUAAGGAAAGCACCUUAAAAAAAGAUAAACACAUGAUUAGAUUAUGAACCUACUAAAUACAUAUAUUUCUGCAAAUAUAAAUUAACCAAACCAAUGCGAUAUACCAAAUCUAUCAUUAGCCCAAAAAUUAAUAUCAAAUGUUUACCAUGUCUGCAAGUCCUUUGCGCAAAUAUAACUAGAAACUGCAAAGCUUAAGAAUGAAACAUCACUCAAAAUUUAUAUUAAAAUUCUGAAACAUUAGUAUUUCGUCUCAGGGUGUUCCUGAAAGAAAAAUUGACAUGUACAACGUUGAAUCCAGAGAUCUCCUAUGGGGAUUUAGUACUUGAAACAAUGUAGAGAAUUGAAACAUCUCAUCACAAAACCAUUGAGCUUGACCAAAGACAAUCAUCCAGACAUACACACCCUAUUUGGCAUGGAUUUCCACCCACCAACAGUUAGAUUAAAGUCCCAGUUGAAAUUACUCUUAGUAAAUUGAUUAGUCAAUUAACUGGAACCCAUUUGAUUCUUCCUAGCUAAUGAAAUAGUAAUAAAGGGUUGUAAAACAAACAAAACAACUAGUAAUUACUAUUGAACCUGUAGAAAAAACCAGAAUUUUAAUCAUCAUACAUAACUAAAUGUGAUUCUUUAUACCAAUUUAUAAAAUCACCGACCAAUUUCUAGAACAGAAACAUUAUGAAUAUAUCAAUACGAUAAUUAGGAAAAUAUCAAACAAGAGGAUAAACUAAAAAAUUAAGAAAAUUAACUGAAAAAUUAAGCUGGAUGAAUCCUUUUUUUGCCAUCACUGGUGGACAGUCGCCCCCAUAAUUCAAUCGAUCUCAGAGAUCGAUUCCCAUUUCGACUGGCAAUGGCGAUUAUGCCAAAGCCGCCACCGCCUCUGAAAUCUCAUCCACCGAGACAUACGCCGGUGAGAUCUCUGAAGGAUGAUUUUGUGAAAACAUGUUCAUUUAAGCAACAUCUAUUAGCAUGCAAUUAACAAUUAAAGGCGGAAUCAUGCUAGCAUGCACUUAAAAACAAAACAUUAACCAAGAAAUUCAAAGCCUAGUAGAUUGGUGAACCAAGACUCAACUCAAAUCAAAGUGAGUUGAGAAAUUUAUACCUUUG